rnacentral:tRNA from 1 species
CAGGACGUAGCUACAACACCAAAGCAUUCAGCUUACACCUGAAAGAUAUCUGUACCUACCAGAUCGCCCUGA